rnacentral:rRNA from 1 species
AGAGUUUGAUUCUGGCUCAGAUUGAACGCUGGCGGCAUGCCUAACACAUGCAAGUCGAACGGCAGCAUAAGAGAGCUUGCUCUCUUGAUGGCGAGUGGCGGACGGGUGAGUAAUGUAUAGGGAUCUGCCCAAUAGUGGGGGACAACAGCCGGAAACGGCUGCUAAUACCGCAUACGCUCUACGGAGGAAAGCGGGGGACCUUUCGAGGCCUCGUGCUAUUGGAUGAACCUAUAUCAGAUUAGCUAGUUGGUGGGGUAAUGGCCUACCAAGGCGACGAUCUGUAGCUGGUCUGAGAGGAUGAUCAGCCACACUGGGACUGAGACACGGCCCAGACUCCUACGGGAGGCAGCAGUGGGGAAUAUUGGACGAUGGGCGAAAGCCUGAUCCAGCAAUGCCGCGUGUGUGAAGAAGGCCUUCGGGUUGUAAAGCACUUUCAAUAGGGAGGAAAAGUUGUGUCCUAAUACGGCACAGCCCUGACGUUACCUAUAGAAGAAGCACCGGCUAACUCCGUGCCAGCAGCCGCGGUAAUACGGAGGGUGCAAGCGUUAAUCGGAAUUACUGGGCGUAAAGCGCGCGUAGGCGGUUUGCUAAGUCAGAUGUGAAAUCCCCGGGCUUAACCUGGGAACUGCAUUUGAGACUGGCAGGCUAGAAUGUGGUAGAGGUGAGUGGAAUUCCAGGUGUAGCGGUGAAAUGCGUAGAGAUCUGGAGGAACAUCAGUGGCGAAGGCGACUCACUGGGCCAUUAUUGACGCUGAGGUGCGAAAGCGUGGGUAGCAAACAGGAUUAGAUACCCUGGUAGUCCACGCCCUAAACGAUGUCAACUAGUGUAUGGAGAAUUUAUUCUUUGUGUAUCGAAGCUAACGCGAUAAGUUGACCGCCUGGGGAGUACGGUCGCAAGACUAAAACUCAAAUGAAUUGACGG